UGUAAUACCCGAAAAAUUCAAGUUAAUUUCCGAUGACGUUUUGGAAAUGAUUUCGUGGUCGUGGACACGAGUACGAAGCUUAGAGGAGUGUGGAAUUAGUUCGAACGAUUUUAUUUUGAAAACUGAACGUUUUAGGGGGGUCAAAGGAGUUGACUUUUUAUACAUUGGGAAAUUGGGAAAACUUCCUUCAUGAAAGUUGUAGAGCGCGUCGAUACGAGUUCGUGGACAUAUGGAACGUAAUAUUCGGAGUUCGUAUGAAUAAGUUACGAAUAUUUGAAAAUUGGGAUUUUCUAUAAAUAUGAAAAAAAAUCCGAAUAUUGCAAAUGAGGACAGAAUUUCUGGAACUCCAGAAAUUUCUCCCCAUUUCUCUCCCGAGCCCAGCCGCGACCCCCUCCCUUCGUCACCUUCGUUCUUCCUCAUCCGGCCACCGAUUGAUGUGAAACAAAGUGGGUUUUUCUGGUCUCGACCCCCUUUACGAGUUUGUAGAAGAAAUCGAAGUGAAAUACGAGCUGUAUGAGGCUCUACAAGGUCGAGAAGAGAGCCUCGUCGGAGACGAAAUCGCUCUUCCCCACUUUUUCUGGGCUCUACUUUGUCUGGCCAUAUCUUCCUCUACAGGCCUCCGAUCGACCUGAUUCCAAAAGCAAUUUUUCUCACCGUGAAGUUUUCUACAACUUUCCAGAAGACAUCGACUUGAGAUAACCAUCGUGGUGGCCGCUAGAAGACCGAGAAGCCGCACAGCCGAGCUGGAAAUCGUCUUCCUUCGCCACCUUGGUUCUCCCAGCUCCGGCCACUAUAGCUCGAGUUCUUUGAGGGCUUUUCUAGCCCAGAGGAAGUAGAAGCUAUCCCCAAGAAGGCUUGCAGCGAUUUAAUCCGGGGUGAUCGAAUUUUGAAGAUUGGGAAACUAGGGUUCUUCGGGUUUCAAAACUUGCGAGGUGAUUGACGGUCUCCCUUGGGUGAACGAUUUCGGUGUGUAUUGUGUUGAAUUGAAGACGCAGCGGGAAUAUCGAGCGGGUAAUCCUGCAGGUCAGGAGAAUCAGGACGGUGAUCGUGCGGGUUAGAGAAUUUGUUUUAGUUUUACAGCAAUUGUAAUUGUGAGGUGAGUUAUGCUCAUUUGAGCCUUACAAUAUAAUUUGGUGAGAGUGUGCUGUAAUAAACAAAUUUGAGAUUUGGUUUAUGUAAUAUCGAGCGAUGUGAGGUGUGGUUGUUUUGAGAAAAAAAUUCAGGUUGUAUUUAUGUGAGUUGUAUUAAUUCAUGUUUCGGAUUUUAAUUGU